CUUGGUGGCGCUGUGGCGGCUGGGAAAGCUCACCCAGCGCUCGCCCUUUCUGCCGCUCAAUCACACGGUAGGACACGAGAUCGAGCGGAGGCUGUGGAAGACGGAGGACGGGAUAGACGAAAAGGGAAAAAGACUGGAGUCCUCACAUGGGAGCAGCUGUGCUGCCUAAUCCACUUUCAUCUGACAGAAUCUGCUAAAGAACUCUUUGGAAAAGCCUUUAUGCCUUCAAACGCACGCUUUUAAUUCCAUGGACCUAAAGGCAGGAAAAUAAAAAAGCCAACCCCUGGCUCUUGCUAGUGGACAGAUUGUAAAGUAAAAGCACGGCUGGACAGGGGAAGGGUUGUAUGGGUGCCAAAUCCCCAUCUAAGACCCACCACAUCUCAACCUACAGCCUCCUCCUCCCUCCUCCACCUCCUUCCACAUCUUGCUUCUCCUCUUUCUUCUCAUUCUCCACUUUUCUCUCCCAUGGGAGUGACAUAGAGGCCACUGCUUCUGCGCCGCCCUAUCUCCACCUCGCCGUGGAAACGGGGAUGUCCAGGUAGUGAUGUCGUGGAAGAGGAACUACUUUGCGUCGGGCGGCGGAGCAGCCAGCGGGGUUCAGGGGCUGGUGACCCCGAGAACCAUGACCUCUAUCGCACCCAGCAAGGGCCUGAGCAACGAGCCGGGACAGAACAGCUGCUUCCUCAACAGCGCUCUGCAGGUUUUAUGGCACCUUGACAUCUUCCGCAGAAGCUUUCGACAGCUGACCACUCACAAGUGCAUGGAGGACUCCUGCAUCUUUUGUGCUUUGAAGAGUAUCUUUGCACAGUUCCAGUUCAGUAGCGAGCGCGUCCUACCAUCCGAUGCGCUGCGGAGCGCUCUGGCCAAGACUUUUCAAGACGAGCAACGCUUCCAGCUGGGAAUCAUGGACGACGCCGCUGAAUGCUUCGAGAAUCUCCUGAUGCGCAUCCACUUCCACAUCAGCACGGAGAGCAGGGAGGACAUCUGCACCGCUAAACACUGCAUACCACACCAGAAGUUUGCCAUGACUCUGUUUGAGCAGUGUGUGUGUAACAGCUGUGGAGCCACAUCGGACCCCCUCCCCUUCAUUCAGAUGGUUCAUUACAUCUCCACCACAUCCCUAUGUAAUCAGGCGGUGAGGAUGCUGGAGUGCAGAGAGAAACCCACGCCGGACAUGUUUGGAGAGCUCCUGCGCAACGCCAGCAACAUGGGAGACCUGCGCAACUGUCCUAGUAACUGUGGGGAGGUGUUGCGAAUCCGCCGGGUCCUCAUGAACUCGCCAGAGAUUGUGUCCAUCGGGCUGGUGUGGGACUCAGACCACUCUGACCUGGCAGAGGACGUCAUCCACAGCCUGGGAACCUGCCUGCGACUGGGAGAUUUGUUCUACCGUGUGACAGAGGAGAGGGCUCGCCAGGCGGAGCUUUACUUGGUGGGAAUGGUGUGCUACUAUGGCAAGCACUACUCCACCUUCUUCUUCCAGACCAAGAUACGCAAGUGGAUGUACUUCGAUGACGCGCACGUCAAAGAGAUUGGCCCAAAGUGGAAGGACGUAGUGUCUCGCUGUAUCAAAGGCCAUUAUCAGCCCCUGCUGCUGCUCUACGCUGACCCCCGUGGGACGCCUGUGUUACUGCAGGAGAGCUCCAACCCUUGCAGCAGCUCCAACCCGCAGCUGGAGCUCCAGCACUGCAGCAGCAAAGCCGGAUACGACAGUGAAGAUUCAGGUCGGGAGCCAUCCAUAUCAAGUGACACCCGCACCGACUCUUCAACCGACAGCUCCAGUCACCGCACCUCUCGCAGUCGACCCCUGCAUCAGUCCACAGGCAGCCACCUCUCCAGUGAAUCGCAGACCACAGUUGUCUGUAAUUACGACACCGGCACGCCACCGCUUGGUGCCGACGCUGGAGAGUCAGCACUGGAGGGUUCUGCCCGCCCCCCUUCUCCUCCCCUGCAGGAGUACAAGGAGACGGCCGUUUUCCUCCUCUCCUCCCGCAGGCCUCUCGCCUCUUCCUCCUCUUCUUCUCGCCCCCUGUCCUCCUCCUCUUCCUCAGGAGUUGGGGGCUGUGAAGGCGGGGUCGGGCCCCACUGGGAGGAUGAAAGUACGAGCAGCGAGAGCAAGUCCAGUUCUUCUGGAGGCCGUUACCGGCCAACUUGGAGGCCUCGAAGAGAGGCUCUAAACAUCGACAGCAUCUUCACUCAUCAAAGAGGCUCCUCUCUGGGCUACAACACCGUUCCUGGCCAUCCAGCCUCUCUGGAGUCCCAAGACUCCGUCAUCCUGGCGGGACCUGUUCUUCAACCUGGGCUACAAGACGUGAAAGGGAGGGAAAGCAGAGAGUUGAAGGUGGGCUUUGGGCUGGUCGGCCCGCCCAGGGCUCUGACUGAAAGGCGGACAAUGGGUCCCCCUGCUUCUCCACCUAUGAGAGGGGUGGAGCAUCAGCCGCGUCUGAUCCAGAGGAUGGAGAGUGGCUACGAGAGCAGCGAGAGAAACAGCAGCAGCCCUGACAGGGAGGUGGGCCAACAAAAGCCAGUGCUGAUGUCCGUACCAUCAUGGCGUUCAGUGCCCAAAUCUAAGAGCACCAAUGCUAUCUUGCAGGAGCUGCCAUCGCCCGGCUGGAGUGGAGCCGCUGCCAAAGCCUCAGGUCGCAGUGAGCUCGACGAGCUCCAGGAGGAGGUUGCAAGAAAAGCUCGCCAGCAGGAGCAGCAGAAGCAGAAAGAGGCAGAGCGGGAAGCUGCCAUGGGAUUUAACCCCAAACCCAGCAAAUUCAUGGACCUGGACCAGCUUCAACACCAGGCUGUGCUCAGACCCCUGCAUGAGGCUAACGCUCAUAGCGGAUUGGCUGUAGCUGCGUGCAUGAGGAGCACUGGGGGCCCAAUCAAACGCAGGCAGGAACAGGAAACGGAACGGGAGACAGCAAGCGCCUGCCCACAGGUUCCAUGCAGUGAACAGCCUGACUCAGUCCAAGUACUGCUGACAUCCAGCCAGGAGGAGGAAGAGGAGCAGGCCACGCCCGGCCCGCAUGCCACCCCGGUCCAGGACCUGCCCCCUCCUCCACCCUAUCGACCUGCUUCCCCUCGAUCUGCGCUCACCCUCAACCUCACUCAUCCUUGUGGCCCUUCCACCCAUGAGAAUGGGCAAGGGGUGGGCAUGAGGAGGAGAGGGGAGGAAGGGGGGAAUGGAAGGGAGGGGACUGGGGUGAGGUUGUGUGAGUUGCUGCAGGCUGGGGGGGUCAGCGUGAGACCCCUGGGGAAGCACUUAGCCAUCUCCCUCCCCUCUCUCCCUCUGCGUCUCUGGGACAGCACACACACCUCACCCCCCCCACAACCUGCACACACUCAAACUCAGCCCUCAACGCCUCCCUCGUCCCCCCCACCACAAGUCCCUGGGCAAAGGAAGCCUUUUACUCCGCUGUGGCAGCCUCCCCAGCCCCAGUCCCCUGAUGUCAGUGGUUGCCAAAGGAAACACUACGCCACCACUGCUGCAGAUAGCGGCGUGCGUCACUGGUCUUCCUGGAGCCUAGACCGGCCCGAUGCCGUGGUAACGCCAUACGACACUCCCCCAGACCGCUGUGUUCCCUUCAUGCCGCAGAUGCACAGUCAGAUCCACAGCUGCAAUUGUCAGUCUUGUCCGGGGCACCACAACUCCCAGCAUGCCCAGGGACAGCAGGCCGAUCCCUGCUGUGGACGUGAUGAGGCUGAACUGUCUGAGCUCGACUCCCUUUACCAGGCCAGCCUGCAGGCUGGAAGGACAGGCUGCAGCCCAUCAGAGAGGCUCAUUUUCAGAGUGGGGGGGCAGGCUCGCUCUAAAACCCCCAAUGCAGACAUGGAGAGGAGUGUGUACGGGGAAGACAGCCCCCCUGCCUACCUCAACAAGCCAAUGAAAUCAUGGGAUCCACGUUUUGGGGUGGGGCCAGAUGAUGGGGAGAACCAGAGGCAAAUAGGACGCAGCCUGAGUGGGACAGUUGUGACCUCCCGCCACAAUCGUUUGACUGCAACCCGCAGUUUUGUGAAGCAGGCUGAUGCCAGUGCCUCUCCUUGCUUACUUCCUCUCUUCUGAGUCCCUGUUGCUAUUCCACUACUCAUCAUCUCCUCCAUCCUCCUCAUCACCAACACCUUCAUCAUCACUUCCCUUCACUGCUUUCAAGGAGCUGCCAGAAGGCGCAGGGAGUUUCUGGCUCUGUCUGACCGGAGUCAAGCUGGCUUCUGACCGGAAUCCGGCUCUCCUCCACUAACGUCUCACCGCGUUUCGGCACAGCAGCUCCCUGGUUCUCCACAUCCCAGCCCUUAUGGAUGUGGAGUAUACUAAGUAGGAUCAAAUAAAUCAAAGCCUGUCCCACCCCUCCACAUGCAAUUACACACACACAAACACACACACCUGCACUGACGUAGAACCCCUCUCAGCGCCUGCAGCACCCUGCUUAGUCCCUUCUUGCCUUCCUCCCCUUCUUAACCUCUUAUUCUGUCUAUGCAGUCAAUCUGACCCCCCCUGACAAAACCUAAGCUCCUCCUUCUCCUCUUUAGUACUGUCUUUCGUCUCCCUGAGGGUUUCCCUGUGUGAUGGGCCUGGUCUGACCGGGACCGGCGCUCCAAGCGAACCUUUUGCCCUCCUCACAGACCCCUACCUCAGGGCAGACUCCUACCAAGUAGCCACGCCUCUUCCUCUUUCUUCACGGGCAUUUAAUGUUGGACGCACAUGUAGCUGAACUGAGUCUGUUUCAGAUCGACAGCCAUAUUUUUCUCUUUUUCGUUUUGGGGGUUUGGUUGUGUUUCUUUCUUGUGUGUACGCACAGUAAAUCCACCCAGACUGAACUCUUCUUAGCUACAAGUCAUGUACAGAAAAAAACAAGCCCAUGUAUGAAAACCUGUAUGUUAAUUAAUAAGACCUUAUGGAAUGUUGAUAAUUAACAAAUAUUGAUAAACUCAAAGUGGUACUUCCUCGUGUCUGCAUUUUAACUAGGAGUGGAGUGCACUUCACAAGUGUCUAGCUGGAGUUUCCGUCCCCAAACCGUCUGCCAACCUAAUGACAGUUCUCCCAUUUCUACCGGGAGAUUAAAACAGAAAAGUGCUCGUGUUCCUGAUUUGACAUUUUCUUAUCUUUUCUAUCUAUACACCUGUCUUGCUUUGAUUCGUUCUCGCUUCCUCUCUUGGUUCCAAAAAAGGUGGCAUAGUUCCGAUGGAAUGGGAAGACGUUGGUUGGGAAACUCUUAGGUUUUUUAUUGUGGGAAGCAGAUGACUUAAGUGCACUUUGCAGGGCGGAUGGGCGGAAGUACACUCUCCGGGGGGACAGAGUGGAGGCUUUUGUUUUACUCCAAGGCCUCAGGUGAACUUAAAAUGACAUGGGUUUAAAGAUUGUUUAUGAAAAAAAAGCAAAAUGUUCAUAUCCAGCCCUAAACAGUGAUAUAUAAAUAUGCUUUUUAAUUGCGUAUUAGAGGUAUAUUUUCAGCCUAACUUCAGAGAUGUCAGCCAUUUUUCAUUGGUGUGAAGAAAAACUGCUCUCUUACCUGUACUGAGUAGCAUUCUGACGUGUGCAUUUCUAAUGAUGCAUUGUUCUUUAUAGAUUCACAAAGCCCAUGUAAAAACGGAUUCAGUGUCAAGUUUUUUCAUGACUUUACUGAUGGAUUGUUGUAACUAAACCAAAGGUUGGCCUGUUUUUGUUUUUUCAUUCUGAGGUCAUGAUGUGUUCUUUGUGUUUUUUGGGUCUUGGAUGUGAGAGAAUGUAGCCAAUUGUAGCGCAUGAGUCCGCUAUGCAAAUCAACCUUCCCUCACAAUCCUGCAUCAGAGACAGUCUGGUGGAAGACACACCCGGGGGGGACACUGAGACGAGGAGGAAGCCUCGCGUUUUAAAGCUGCUGGGGAACUUUGCUGCUCCGCCCGCGUCCGCUGCUGCGCUUGUCGCGCAGGUGGAGCGCAGCGAGCGGCCGGAGGAACAAGAGACAAAAGGGAGAAGCAGAGCGAAUGAAUGUAAACCAAAGGAUGAAACUGUGUGUUUGUGAAUGACGAGAUGGUCAAAGGCUGGAGGUCAUAACUAAAGGUGGGGGAGGGGGGUUGUGGGUGUGCAUCGACUGAGUGUGUGCCAGUUUUCGGGGUGGUGUUGCUCGGGGAAAGAGGUAACCUGUAUUUUUGCAAUAAAGUUAUUACCAAUGCACUCCCACAGGGGGCGUAGCUACACCCACA